rnacentral:lncRNA from 1 species
CGACGCCACAUGCCUAUAUAAGAGGAUCGCUCGGCGUGGCUCAACGCAUUUGUAAAUCAGUUUCCAGAGCAGUCAGAAGUGGCGUUCAAAGUGUGCAGUAGUGUGAAAAUUUCUUCCUCCACUAUGUUUAUAGUUAAUUCAUCAUCAUUUCUUGGCAAUAAUACCAUUAUUGCAAUAUCAUCCACGAAAUUGAAAAUUCUCCAUUUCACCAAAGAAGACACAUGAAUUUUCAAGAAUGAAAUUAUUGAAGAAAGAAAAAAAGAAUGGCUCGACGCAUUCAUAAAGAAAUUUUCGGUUCGGAUGCAGCGAAUAUUCAAUUCCACCGACUGAUCAUAUUUCUUCUAUUAUUGCGAUCUACGACAACAUGACAUGAAAACAGACGAAUGGAUUGCGAAGUUGGACUAUUUACGUGCACCCUACGGGGUCGGUGCUUGAACGCAACUAUAAUAUGGUCUGAUUAGAGUUUGAAAUUUCUUCAUACAUUUUGAACUAUUUGAGAAGAGCAUCUCGAGAUAUAUUAGUUUAGAGCAGACUCGUAGUUAGAGGUCGAGAAUAAAUUAUGGGCACCAUCUUGUCUAAACCAAUACUCUACUACAAAGGCAUACGGAAUUUGGGAAUUGAGAAAAAAAAGUACAGAAUCAAAUAGAACAGGAAAUGAAAAAAAAAAGACGAUUUUGCGGUUAAAAAUAUCCAAUAUAAAUAAUUAAAUAUACAAUUU